rnacentral:rRNA from 1 species
ACUCCUGCGGGAGGCAGCAGUGGGGAAUAUUGGACAAUGGGCGCAAGCCUGAUCCAGCCAUGCCGCGUGAGUGAUGAAGGCCCUAGGGUUGUAAAGCUCUUUCACCGGUGAAGAUAAUGACGGUAACCGGAGAAGAAGCCCCGGCUAACUUCGUGCCAGCAGCCGCGGUAAUACGAAGGGGGCUAGCGUUGUUCGGAUUUACUGGGCGUAAAGCGCACGUAGGCGGACUAUUAAGUCAGGGGUGAAAUCCCGGGGCUCAACCCCGGAACUGCCUUUGAUACUGGUAGUCUUGAGUUCGAGAGAGGUGAGUGGAAUUCCGAGUGUAGAGGUGAAAUUCGUAGAUAUUCGGAGGAACACCAGUGGCGAAGGCGGCUCACUGGCUCGAUACUGACGCUGAGGUGCGAAAGCGUGGGGAGCAAACAGGAUUAGAAACCCUGUAGUCCC